rnacentral:lncRNA from 1 species
UGAGAGAAUCUUAUUUUUAUGGAAGAGACGUCACAAGGCGCUCUCUUCAGUGAUGCUUCUUAUCACCAUUCUGGGAAGCCAGGAAAUAUACAGCCAAGAAUGCUACAGUGAGAGAAUCUUAUUUUUAUGGAAGAGACGUCACAAGGCGCUCUCUUCAGUGAUGCUUCUUAUCACCAUUCUGGGAAUCCAGGAAAUAUUCAGCCCCCAAAGCUACCACAAACGCAGCAAACCCCCAUUUGAAUCCUUUUAAUAUUACACUCGGGAAGGUGAUGUUGCCUGCAAAGCCGCCCAUGUAUCUCCAAGCCUCAUUGCUG